UCUAUUAUUCCAAGCCACCCACUAAUAAUUACCCAGGCGCAGCUAGCAAACCUGAGGUGCUCAGCGCCGGCGCCCGUCAAUGGGCAUUGUAGCCUCGUACUGCUGCUGGUGCUUCCCACGGGAGGACAAGCCGAAUUAUCAAGAGGAAGUUAGCUCACCAGGUAUCUUACAUUUCCCAACAGUCUGCCGUCGCCGAUAUCGUGAUCCCUUCCUAACAUUGUUGCUUCGAAUGUUCAUUUUUUCUUGUCCGUAUUCAUAUUGGUUGAAAUAUUUUGUUGCUAAUUAUUUGUUUGAUUGGGAGAUCCUAUUGCACAUAGCGCUACUAUCAAAUAGUACUUACUAAGCUACAACAAUUACUGUCGGCCACGCAAAAUUCACACGUGCAAAGAUAGCAAAUUUCGCAGUCAUCACGAUCCGCCGUCGCCGCCCGUGAAAGAACCAAAUGACGGCUUGGACGGGUCGGCCGCGGCCGCCGGUGACGGGAGCAAGAAGGAAGCCGAUAAAGCGUCACAAAAUCCACCGGUGUUCGUGUAUAAGAACGGGGAUGGCGGUGCGACGGACGCCUGCAACUCAGACAACCGCAAGGCUUCUCCCGAUGGUGUAUGUGGUUCAAAGGACAACCGCAAGGUUUCUCAUA
rnacentral:lncRNA from 1 species